CAAAAAAAAAAAAAAACACUCUAGGAUUGGUGCUGUGAGACUCUAUCUCAAGGCCUGGCCUGGCGCCAGCCCUGACAACUCCAUCUGGGAGCAUCAGUUUAUGGCAUUC